GAUGAACGCUGGCGGCGUGCCUAAUACAUGCAAGUCGAGCGAACAGAUGAGGAGCUUGCUCCUCUGACGUUAGCGGCGGACGGGUGAGUAACACGUGGAUAACCUACCUAUAAGACUGGGAUAACUUCGGGAAACCGGAGCUAAUACCGGAUAAUAUAUUGAACCGCAUGGUUCAAUAGUGAAAGACGGUUUUGCUGUCUCUUAUAGAUGGAUCCGCGCCGCAUUAGCUAGUUGGUAAGGUAACGGCUUACCAAGGCGACGAUGCGUAGCCGACCUGAGAGGGUGAUCGGCCACACUGGAACUGAGACACGGUCCAGACUCCUACGGGAGGCAGCAGUAGGGAAUCUUCGGCAAUGGGCGAAAGCCUGACGGAGCAACGCCGCGUGAGUGAUGAAGGUCUUCGGAUCGUAAAACUCUGUUAUUAGGGAAGAACAAAUGUGUAAGUAACUAUGCACGUCUUGACGGUACCUAAUCAGAAAGCCACGGCUAACUACGUG
rnacentral:rRNA from 1 species